GAGACAAAGAACUCAGGAUCUCCGAAUGGGAAUCCCCACCGCAAUUGCCUCGCGCAAUGGGGAACGCUCCGAAUUGAAACAUCUCAGUAGGAGCAGGAACAGAAAGCAAUAGCGAUGUCGUUACUAACCGCGAGUGAACGCGACGCAGUCCAAACCGAAUCCCUCACGGGAAAUGUGGUGUUCGGACUGACCACAACGAAUCUCAACGUCAGGAGAAAUCUCCUGGAACGGAGUGCGAUACAGGGUGACAGCCCCGUAUCCCGACCGCGAGAUUCCGGGUUAGCUCCAGAGUACCGAGGAUUGGAUAUUCCUCGUUAAUAUCGCAGGCAUCAACUGCGAAGACUAAACACUCCUCGAGACCGAUAGCGAACAAGUAGCGUGAGCGAACGCUGAAAAGCACCCCGAACAGGGCGGUGCAAUAGGGCCUGAACUCAGUCAGUGAUAGAACGACGGGGCAUACAAGGUCCCCGAAUAAACGACCGUGGGGCGACCCACCAGUAGGACUUCGGGGAAGCCGAUGUCGCGUCGUGCGUUUUGAAAAACGACCCAGGGAGUGUACCCUCGUGGCAAGCCUAACUGGAUCAUCCAGGCAGGCACAGGGAAACCGAUACGGCCGCAGUCUCUUCGGAGACCAGGGCCACCGUGUUCAAGCGCGGGGAGUCACGAUGGUACGACCCGAAACCGAGUGAUCUACGCGCGGGCAAGGUGAAGCGUGGCGAAAGCUGCGUGGAGGCCUGAAGAGUUGGUGUCCUACAAUACCCUCUCCUGACCCGUGCGUAGGGGUGAAAGGCCCAUCGAACUCGGCAACAGCUGGUUCCAGCCGAAACAUGUCGAAGCAUGACCUCGACCGAGGUAGUCUGCGAGGUAGAGCCACCGAUUGGAUGACCCGCCUCCGAGAGGAGUCGGCCAUCCUGUCGAACUCCAAACUUGCAGACGCCGUAGACGUCGGGAAUCCGGACUGCGGGGUAAGCCUGUGGUCCGUGAGGGAGACAACCCAGAGCCGGGUUAAGGUCCCCAAGUGUAGAUUAAGUGCAACCGAAGGUGGUCUCGAGCCCUAAACAGCCGGGAGGUGAGCUUAGAAGCAGCUACCCUCUAAGAAAAGCGUAACAGCUUACCGGCCGAGGUUCGAGGCGCCCAAA
rnacentral:rRNA from 1 species